UACGAAGGGUGCAAGCGUUGUUCGGAAUCAUUGGGCGUAAAGCGCGCGCAGGCGGAUCAGCAAGUCAGAUGUGAAAUCUCGGGGCUCAACCUCGAAACUGCGUAUGAAACUGCUAGUCUAGAAUGUCGGAGGGGGAGGGGGAAUUUCACGUGUAGGGGUAAAAUCCGUAGAGAUGUGAAGGAACACCGGGGGCGAAGGCGCCUUCCUGGACGACUAUUGACGCUGAGGCGCGAAAGCGUGGGGAGCAAACAGG
rnacentral:rRNA from 1 species